AUUAAUAGCUCACACAUUAUAUAUUAAUUGGAUGUACUCUUUCUUUUGCACAAACUUUUAAACCAUUUGAUACAAUUUGAAGCAGUUGCUUUGACUUUGCCGAAACCACCCUUAGAACCUGAAUUCUUGUUCUUGUCUAUUUCCUUUUGAGAUCUUGUCACAUCAUCUUCCAUGGCACCAAUACCACCAGCACCCCAUUGAUCUGUCCAACUUAGAGCUUUGCUUGCCAUCUUUCCUUGAUGCCAUCACCAUAAAACAACCUUAAACCUUUCUGAUACGAAGAUACAAAAUCUCAACAAAUCAUUACUACAGUGCCUGUGGUGAAAACUUGAGACAGAAAAGCUUAAAGACAGGAGCAAUACCCCCAAAUGGAAUGACCGAGAUUUUGACGCAGAAGAAUGAUUGAUGAAAGACUUGAAAUUUAAAAGGACUUGACAACUCACCUAUCUGUUUGAGUACAUGUUAAGAAUUGUGAACGCCUUACAAGUGUGUCCCCACCAACACCGAAAGAUCUUGUGGAACUUGAAGAUCCAGUAGUGGAAGAUGUUCUGCUACGAUUACUUCCUUUCUUAACUAAUUUAGUAACGUUGAAAGUUGAA
rnacentral:sRNA from 1 species